rnacentral:lncRNA from 1 species
UAGUAAAACAUAGUAAGGUUCAACAGAAAUAUAUAAUGACCGCUGCUCAUAUACUUUAAGCACAGAUAAUUAAGAUUGACAUUAAUUAGGAUCUCCAUUAUCAGCAUCACCACCAGCAUCAUCGCCUUCACUAGCACCACCUUGUGAAUUAUAGUUUUGUCUUGGGAUGUUGUGGUGGUUGUCUAUGUAGCCAUCAGGAUAGACCACAGUUUCUUUAUGUGCUCUUCCUUGAACAGCCAAACUAGAAAACAGCAACAUGGUUACAAAUAUAAGCACCACCGCCUUCAUUAUUAGUAGGUGUAUGAACUUGGAAAGUGGAAACUAUGAAGGUGGCUUUUAUAAGGUCAGAUUUGAGGUAUAG